UCUGGGUGUAGUGGUGCAUGCCUGCAAUCCCAGCCUCUUGGGAGGCUGAGGCAGGAGGAUCAUGAGUUCAAAGCCAGCCUCAGCAAUUUAGUGAGACCCUGUCUCUA
rnacentral:sRNA from 1 species